rnacentral:rRNA from 1 species
UAUUAACUAAGGAGAUAAUUUCCCGAAAAAAAAAAGAUCUAUAUAUAAAAUUUUUUUAGUUAUAUAUUAUUAUUGUGGCAAAAAUAAUGUUAUAUUUAAAUAUAGGGGUGAAACGCUUUCACUUUUUUUGAUAUCUGGAUAAAGUUAAAAUGUAUAAAGUACAAAAAUUACUUUUAAAGCGAUAAGGUUUUAAAGGUUAAGAGUAUUUUAUAAGCAAUAAUGGUUUGAAAUAAAUUUCUACUACCAAGAAGUAAAUAAUAUUAUUGUAUUAUAUAUCUAUUUUAAUAAACUUUACUUAUUCUUAAUUUAGCUAAUAAAUUUUAAUGUUUAAAUUAGUAUUUUUUUAAAAAUAAAUUUAAGGAACUCGGCAAAAUAAUCUUCAACUGUUUAACAAAAACAUAGCCUUAAGAUUAUAUAUUUUAGGUUAUCCCUGCCCAAUGAAGAUUUUAAUGGCCGCAGUACACUGACUGUGCUAAGGUAGCAUAAUCAAUUGACUUUUAAUUGGAGCCUAGUAUGAAUGGGAGCAUGAGGAUUACCUAUCUAAAGUUUAGUAAUUAAAAUUUACUAAGAAGGUGAAAAUUCCUUCUAUUUAUUUAUUAGACGAGAAGACCCUAUGAAUUAUAAUUAAUAGGAGAAUAAGUCUUACAUUUUUGUUGGGGCAACAGGUUUGGUAAAUCAAAUACAUAAUCUACUAUACAAAGCGAGAGAUUUUACAAAUGAAUUUAAUUACCUUAGGGAUAACAGCAUAAUCAAUAUUUUGGUUUGUGACCUCGAUGUUGGAUUAGGGACUUUAUAAGUUAGUCACUUAUAAAGCUUGUUCUGUUCGAACAGUUUACCCUA